UAUCCCAUAAUAGAAUUCUUUGUUUACACCAUCCAUUUUGUGUAAAGAGACAAAAUGGAUACAUGUGUAUGUAUAUGAUGGAAUAGAUACACGUGUGGUAGGUAUACACAAGUCAAAAUAGAUGUAAUUUGUUCUAGAUAUAUUUUAUCCAGACGUGAUUCACAAGUAUUUACAAUACACUAACUCUAUAUCUUGUUUCUCUCCUCUAUGACUAGCCUAUCUCUCACUCCUCUUUCUCUCUCUCUCUCUCUCUCUCUCUCACACACACACACACACACAUAUAUAUAUAUACACAUGUAUCUAGUAUCAAAAUAUACAUUAAUACAUUCAUUAGUGUAUUCAUAGAUAGUUUUCUCAAAUUCGGGAUCAUAAGGAAGCAAUGUGGCUCCUUUACUUCCAGUGUUUGGCAUACACAAGUGAACUUACCUGAAAGAGACACAAACACAAAACAAAAUGUAAAAUUAGAAAAUGUAACUACUACUCAAAUAAACGCUUGUCACAUGUAUAUGAUAUUACAAUUCACAACAAUAUACAUCAUCACCGAGCAGAAAAAAGAGAGAGAGAGAAAGAGGAUAGAGGGAGAGAGUCAACUAGAGAAAGGGGAAGGGAUGUUGAGAGAUUAUGUAAUUAUUUAUAACAUAUAGUGGGAUUUUGUAGAUUUGACAAGGGUAUUUUGUGUAUUUUAUGUGUAAUGGAUUGAUUCGAUACAAUCUACUUUUCACAUUUUUUAUUCUAUUACAACGUUUGUUUUUCCUCGUUUAGGUUUUGGACUCUCUAGGGAGAACCAACUUCAUAUGACAAAAUAAUCUUUUAUGAUCACUGAAACAUUGAAUGAAAGAAAAUAAUCUUUUCAAUUCUCUUACACGUAAAAGUUAAAGUUUCUUUAAAAAGACAAAAAAAUUAAAAUCAAUUUUUGGAGGGCUAUGGUGACAUUUCAUUAGUAAUCAUCGAUCCGAAUAACGUGGAGAAUGUGAAAUCCCGUACAAGUUUAUAAGGACAAUAUUAUAAGGUGAAGUAGUAAAGAACCCUCGAAAGUGAAAGGGGUAACCCAUCGAUGGCCUCCUAAACUUGGCACAAAUCUUUCACUUAGACACCUCAAGUGGAGGGUUUUCAUUUUAAACACCUAACGUAGGGUCCCUAUGUGUCACUUAAAAACACUUUUUGCACAGCUGGAGUGCCGCGUGAGUUUCACUGAUACUAGGAGCGUAAACAUGAAAAUUUUGUCUGAUGUGGAGUCCCCAACGGUAAUAUUACUCACAUCAUCUAUUCAUGAUUUUAUUCCAAUUAUACCCUAAUUCAAAUCCCAAUUUCUCUCUUUUUUUCCAAUUUCUUCCUUCUUUUUCGAUUUCUCUCUUCUUCAGCCUUUCAUGUGAAGCUUCUCCAAUUCUUCCAUGGAUGAAGGUCGAUAUUGUAGGUGUUGUGAUGACACAUUAUUAAAGACUUCAUGAAACCCAAUUAAAUUCAGGGCGUAGAUUUUUUACUUUUAGAAUUUCAAAGAAAAUGGGUGGUUGUGACUAUUUUCUUUGGUAUGAAGAUCGACAUCUUCCACAAGCAAACAAGGUAAUGUGGGGAUUGUUGAAGCAAGUCAAUGCUUUUGAUGAAAAGUUAAAGCGAGCAAGAAAUAUAUUUAUUGUUGGUUUUGUUCCUAUUGGAUUGCUUAUGUUUGGAAUAUGGAAAUUGAAGCCUAAUUGUUAGUGUUCUUGAGAUGUUCUUAAGGUGUUCGGUCUAGUACUAUUUUGAUGAGCCAAACAACAUUCGAUAUAGUAGUAUUUAGAUGUUGUUGUUGCUGUGAAUUUUUGAUGUAAUUGUGCUUUCUAAUUUAAUGAAAUUCUAAGUUCUAGUAGUAUUUUGAUGUUGUUAUUACUGUAAAAUUUACUUUUGGCUACCAUAUAAAGUAGUAUCAAAAGAAAAUGCCCAUGCUAUAAACAAUUAUCGUAUUCGUCAAAAUGUAACUUCCAAAUACACAAUACUUAAACAGUUAUAGUGAAUGCUCCAUAAUGAGCUCAAAGGUAGCAUUAUGCUAUAUAAUAUUCAAGGCUACAACCCAAAAAAGUGUACCAAAAUAAGGUCCCAAAAUAAAGCUAGCAUAAACAAAAGUUACAUACAACCUUUACAAAAGUGUUUACUAGUACCAAUCCAAGAAUAGCAUACUCCAAUGACAUACGACAACAUAUUAAGGGACCAAAAUCAACCUAUCCUUGUUGGUGUUACUUCUUCUUUUUGUUUGCCAUUUGCUGCAAUUGGGAAGAGGUGACAUCAGCCUUGUUUUUCCAUCUUAAGCCUCUAGGCUUAAUGCCACUGUCUAUACCCGUUAAACUUGCAUCCUUGUAACUUAAACCUGUUAGUAGAAUUUUUUGACUUAAAGUCCCAGGCUGUUUUUUGAAGAACAAAUUAAAUUUAAAAUAUAAACUUUCAUUCAUUUAAGAGACAAUUAGACAAACUUACGUUUAAUAUUUCGGUUCCACUUGCACUUGUGUAGAUGCCAAAUUCAACAUUACUUGCUCCACCUUUAGUUUGCCUCUUUGUUGCUCCUCUUGCAUAAUCUUCUCCAGUUCUAACAUUUUCUUUUUUUUGUCCAGCAGUUUGUCUUGUCCUUGAAGGUAGUUGACUGGUUAUUCCUCUUGUAACAGGAAUACUUGUAUCCCCAACUGGAGGUGGUUGAUUUGUUUUUGCAGUUUCCUUUACCGUUUUAACUCUACUGGUAUUACCACAAAUUGUUGUUAAAGAAACACGAUUGUUUGUUGUUAUUGCCCCAGGUUGGUAGGAGCUUGUUUGUUCAGGGUGGCUACUUCCUUGUGAACUUUGACCAGCAGUAAAUUGUGAAUUAUGGCUCGCUGGUUGUGAAGUAUGGACACCAACCUUCUAUUUCUUAGAGGUCUACAAGGCAUUUGUUUAGGCUCAGGAGGCUCAAUCCUGAAUUAUUAGUUUCAGGCCACAUCUUCAUAUUUGAAAUUGGUUGAAUGAAAUGACUAUAAGCCUUUAAGAAGGUAUCCUUCCUA